rnacentral:rRNA from 1 species
CACGUAGGCGGCUUUGUAAGUUAGAGGUGAAAGCCCAGGGCUUAACCCUGGAAUUGCCUUUAAGACUGCAUCGCUAGAAUCGUGGAGAGGUGAGUGGAAUUCCGAGUGUAGAGGUGAAAUUCGUAGAUAUUCGGAAGAACACCAGUGGCGAAGGCGACUCACUGGACACGUACUGACGCUGAGGUGCGAAAGCGUGGGGAGCAAACA